GACGUAGGUGGCGAACGUUAUCCGGAAUUAUUGGGCGUAAAGGGUGCGUAGGUGGCUUGGUAAGUUAUUAGUGGCAAAUCGAGGCUCAACCUCGUGGAAACUAGUAAUACUGUCUGGCUUGAGUACAGGAGAGGUUAACGGAACUCUAUGUGGAGCGGUAAAAUGCACAGAUAUAUAGAAGAACAUCAAUAAAGGCGAAGGCAGUUAACUAUUCUGUUACUGACGCUGAGGCACGAAAGCGUGGGGAGCAAAACGG
rnacentral:rRNA from 1 species